GACGAACGCUGGCGGCGUGCUUAACACAUGCAAGUCGAACGGAAAGGCCCUGCUUUUGUGGGGUGCUCGAGUGGCGAACGGGUGAGUAACACGUGAGUAACCUGCCCUUGACUUUGGGAUAACUUCAGGAAACUGGGGCUAAUACCGGAUAGGAGCUCCUGCUACAUGGUGGGGGUUGGAAAGUUUCGGCGGUUGGGGAUGGACUCGCGGCUUAUCAGCUUGUUGGUGGGGUAGUGGCUCACCAAGGCUUUGACGGGUAGCCGGCCUGAGAGGGUGACCGGCCACAUUGGGACUGAGAUACGGCCCAGACUCCUACGGGAGGCAGCAGUGGGGAAUAUUGCACAAUGGGCGGAAGCCUGAUGCAGCAACGCCGCGUGCGGGAUGACGGCCUUCGGGUUGUAAACCGCUUUCGCCUGUGACGAAGCGUGAGUGACGGUAAUGGGUAAAGAAGCACCGGCUAACUACGUG
rnacentral:rRNA from 1 species